rnacentral:rRNA from 1 species
AUAGCGAGGAAAGAAACCAACAGGGAUUGCCUUAGUAACUGCGAGUGAAGCGGCAAAAGCUCAAAUUUGAAAUCUGGCGUCUUCGGCGUCCGAGUUGUAAUUUGGAGAGAUAACUUCGGUGCAGCCAGUGGGCCUAUGUCUCUUGGAACAGAGCGUCAUAGAGGGUGAGAAUCCCGUACAGUCUACUGGUACGUGCCAUGUGAAGUGUCUUCGACGAGUCGAGUUGUUUGGGAAUGCAGCUCUAAGUGGGUGGUAAAUUUCAUCUAAAGCUAAAUAUUGGCGAGAGACCGAUAGCGCACAAGUAGAGUGAUCGAAAGAUGAAAAGCACUUUGAAAAGAGAGUCAAAAAGUACGUGAAAUUGUUGAAAGGGAAGCGCUUGGGACUAGACACAGUUGGCGGUGAUAAGCAGUCCUUCUGGGCUGUGUAUGUGCCGUUAGCUGGGCCAGCAUCGGUUGCGGCGAUGGGAUAAAGAUUGCAGGAAUGUGGCCAGCUUCGGUUGGUGUUAUAGCCUGUGGUGCAAUGCCAUCUGCUGCGACCGAGGACCGCGCGAAAGCUAGGAUGCUGGUGGAAUGGUCUUUAGCGACCCGUCUUGAAACACGGACCAAGGAGUCUAACAUCUAUGCGAGUGUUUGGGUGCAAAACCCUUGCGCGUAAUGAAAGUGAACGUAGGUGGGAGUCCUUCGGGAUGCACCAUCGACCGAUCUUGAUGUCUUCGGAUGGAUUUGAGUAAGAGCAUAGCGGUUGGGACCCGAAAGAUGGUGAACUAUGCCUGAAUAGGGUGAAGCCAGAGGAAACUCUGGUGGAGGCUCGCAGCGGUUCUGACGUGCAAAUCGAUCGUCAAAUUUGGGUAUAGGGGCGAAAGACUAAUCGAAC